UUCAAAGGCACACAGAGCAUUUAGGUACCUAACACAUUGACUAACUUCCAUUUGUGCCUUUGAAAAUCUCUCCUCUAUAUCAAUGGAUGAGACAGAAGAGGGUACACUUUGGUCUCCUGCAGCCACAUGGACUCUGUAGGGAAAUGAAUACUAGUUGUCAUUAAAAUGAACAGCUCUAAUUUGGGAGACACGUGAGUGAGAAACAAUCUCCAUCAUGCAACUUCUCCUAGCAGCAACCUGAAAGAAACAACUAUUAUUCCCACCCAGCCAUUCGCUCAAGAAUUCCCCCAGGAGUGGUCCCGGUUCCUGCUUUCCUGCCUCACUCCAGCUCCGUGCUCCUAUCCUUGAUGUGGAUUCCAGCUUCGACUCCUGGCUCUGUCUCCGGCUCUGGCCUUUGGCUUAGCAUCUGACUGACUCCAGUUCUAGGCUCCUGCCUCUAACCAUGAGUCCUGAUCACCCUGGGUCUUACAAUAUGUAAGGGGACUGUUGGCCCCUUACUGAAACUUGGUGCUUUGUUUGUUUUUUGGUUGGCCUUCUCCCAAUACCAGGAGAAAGGGCAAAGAGGAAUCAGAAUCCUGAGACUGACAGGUUCCAUAGGGCCAACACUCCAAGUCAGGAAACAGGGCAGGCAGGUUCAGAAGGAAGUUGAGAGCCCAAGGCCCAUCCUUCAUGUGAGCUGGGGCUACCAGAGCAGAGCUGGGGAGAGUGCAGCAGCCCAGAACAGAAACAGAGACUCAGAGCUGCAGCCCAGAGACGGGAGAUUUGGACCGAGUCUCCUGCUCUCCUAGCAGAGUGGUGUCAGCUCGUCUAGGGAGAGAGGAAGAGAUGGGCCCCUUUCCCAAAGUCUGUUAAGAGCAUAUUAAAGUACCAGACCCAAAGGAGGAAAUGGCCUGACUGGAGGGCCAGAACCAAAGGUGGUAAAUGGGUUCUGUCACAGAGUCCAAACCCAACCUGGGGAGUGCCACACCAGCAGCAUCACAACAACACAUCCGGGUCCUGGAAGAACACACUGGACCUGUAAAUUUGUUGUAACUGUAAAGUUUAUUGCAUCUUAGUGACUACUGCACUGAACUUUUUGCAAGCCAUUUCCUCACUGUGCUUACACUGUGAAGUGUUCUUUAAUCCCAAAUAAAUGU